rnacentral:sRNA from 1 species
CAGUUGUCCUGUCCGAUCAAUAGUUG